UUCAAAAACUUACACCUUUUUAUACAGAUAUUUAUAUUGAAUAUAUAAAGCAAUGCUUUGUUAGUUUGCUUUUUGAGUUAUUAUUAUGUUUGUUACUUGUAAGUUUGUAGCAGCUCUUCCUGUUUUCAAACAGAUGAGCUUUUAAACAGAUAACCUAGCAUUUUUGAAUUUUUUGUGGAAUAAUAGAUGACUCACAGUAAAGUUACAACAUAUUUUCUUUUAAGUAAAACCUCAAGGAAUAAUGAUACUUGCUUUGCCAUUCAAGGGCCUUUUUUUAUCUGUUUACUUUGUGGAUCUUACACAUACACCAGAUACCUGUUUUGGUGAAAUAAGGUGGUUAUAAUUAUUUACUUAUUGUCAGCAAUUGCUUUGUGGCCUAUUCAUUUGACAAUAGGUGAUUUCAAAUCGGAGAAGUCCAACGGGGAGCUAAGCGAAUCUCCUGGAGCUGGAAAAGGAGCAUCUGGCUCAACUCGAAUCAUCACCAGAUUGCGGAAUCCAGAUAGCAAACUUAGUCAGCUGAAGAGCCAGCAGGUGGCAGCCGCUGCACAUGAAGCAAAUAAAUUAUUUAAGGAGGGCAAAGAGGUACUGGUAGUUAACUCUCAAGGAGAAAUUUCACGGUUGAGCACCAAAAAGGAAGUGAUCAUGAAAGGAAAUAUCAACAAUUAUUUUAAAUUGGGUCAAGAAGGGAAGUAUCGCGUCUACCACAAUCAAUACUCCACCAAUUCAUUUGCUUUGAAUAAGCACCAGCACAGAGAAGAUCAUGAUAAGA
rnacentral:sRNA from 1 species